rnacentral:tRNA from 1 species
GAGGUUGUGGCUCAGUGGUAGAGUAUUUGCCUAACAUGCAUGAGGCACUGUGUUAGAUCCUUAGCACCACA